GCUACUGGCUACACGACAAAGGAUGUACCUAUUUCCGGCUAUGUGUCGAACCGAUCUUUGGAUUAGAAGAAUAUCGAACCGGGAACAAAGCAAAUCGAAACCGAUCCUUUAUCAUUUAAUACAUUAAAGAUUUUUUUUUUUUUUUUGUCAACUUCUUUGUAUUAAAGCCCGCAGGCUAAAUUUACAAACAGUAUCAAGCCCAAAUUAAUACAAUCAGCCCAACGAAAACCAGACUUUAAGAUAAACAUUAGUGCAUGAAGGACACGCGUCCUCUGUCGUGGCAUCGAUUCCAGAAACGAAGUGCAGAAAGCGGCACCGGAUCAUCGCCGGACGGAACACCAUCUCCAGCCUCGUCUCGCUUGAAACUGCUUGUUGCUCCUCCUUCCUUCAUCGCCGUCGAUUCAUAAAGAUCUUUUCUCUGAUCACUAGACGUUAACCCAUGAAAAGCAUCAGAGAGACACGAACACAAAACUUUGCCGGAACACUUUCCAAAAAGGAAGCUCCGUCUCAUCUAGCUCUGCACCGAGUCUUCUUAGCUUAUACAAAUCUUAGGUCUUGAUCUUUGAGGAGACUCCACUUAUUCAUGAAGCGAAGAUUGAUUCCUAUAAUAAAUCAAGCACCAAGCUUGCUAGCAAAGAGAGAAAACAAUCCUCAGAAUCAAACGGUAAGAACAGAGUUGCAGAACUAAAGAAGGAGAAAGCUUAACACAACAUAAAACUUUAACACCUAAUCGCCACUGCGAAAACGAAAAUUCCGCAACCGGAAAAGAAAAUCGCCGAGCGAAAGUAAAGAUUUACAACAAAAAAACAAAAUAUAGUUCUCUCCCCUUCUAAUUAAACUCUAUCCUCUGAAAGAUUUGAGUUUGGUAAGAGGCAUAGAGUUUCGAGAGAGAAACCUCUCUCUAAGAGAGGAGAGAGAAGCUUUUAUCAUCCACACUCCAUUAAAGAUUCUUUUCACCUUUCUUUUGAUAUUUAAAUAUUUAAUCACCAAACAAAGAAAUAAAUUAUACUAUAUUUAUUAACUUCGAAAUUUUCAAGAUUUUAUUCAAAUUAUUUUCAUUUUUGAGUCACAG
rnacentral:lncRNA from 1 species